GGACCUCUACAGUUGCCAUAGCCAAACGUCACUUUGGAGCGAAAGAUUUUAAACGGCUCCUUUGAGAAAGACUUGAGGGCCGAAAUGUUGUCGUUUCUCUCAUAACAGGGUACAAUUUAGCCAGCUGUUUUUAAAUAGAGCGUUUUGUGGACUGUUCACAGUCCCUGGUCUAAAGAUGAAAGGCUUGGAAAUGUCCGCUAUGAUACCUGCACUGCAGGAGCUAGCGAGUGUGUGAAGGGGUUUCUUUACACUGCCCUGAAGGCUGAGGUUGCCGUGGUGAUGCAAGAGAGGGAGGAUGGAGAAACGCCUGCUAAGCGACCCUGUCUACCCAUCACCCCCCUGGCCAGCAAGACCCCCGAAACUACCAGAUUGAGGUGUGAGCGGCAGGCUGAAUGACCUUCUGGCCUCUCUGGUGAACUGUGACCUUGACCCGACGACCCCUGAGCCUGACGAAGACCCUGAGAGCUCUGGAGGGACUCGCUCUGGAUGGUGGAUGGUAACAGUAGUACUCUCAGUAUGGGGUCCAUUUCUCUCGCUCUGUAUUCCAGGUGGAUGGUAACAGUAGUACUCUCAGUAUGGGGUCCAUUUCAAGCAGUUGAAGCGCCUAGUGGAGUAGCCGUCAUUCAGCCAGAUCCUGAUCCCUCUGCAGUCUGUCCUCAUCCCCACACUGCCCUCUACUGGCCCUGCAAACACACUGCACCACAACGCAUUCCCCGGACACUGGGCCUGCCUCCAUGGCUUUGACGAUACUGUGUGUGUGGGGGGGAGAGGUGGAGAUCCUAGCCUCCCUCCAGGAGCCCAAGAAGAUCGGCCUGAAGGGAAGUGAUGGGAGGAGCUACACUGUGAUGUGUAAACCUAAAGAUGACCUCCGGAAAGACUGUCGCCUCAUGGAGUUCAACUGCCUCAUCAACAAGUGCCUGCGUAAGGAUGCAGAGUCCAGGAGGAGGGCGCUCCAUAUCCGUACAUAUGGUGUGAUCCCACUGAAUGAGGAGUGUGGCAUCAUCGAGUGGGUCAACAACACUGGAGGUCUCCGACACACUCUGACCACACCCUACUAAGAGAGAGGUAUCCUGAUGUCAGGUAAAGAGUUGAGGACGUUCAUUCUUCCUCAGACUGCAUCAUUUGAGGAGAAGCUGAAAGUCCAUAAGGACCUCCUGUGUGCCAGACACCCCCCUGUCUUCUAUGAAUGGUUCCUCCAAACCUUCCCUGACCCCACCACAUGUGUGUGUGUGUGUGUAAUGUGGGUACAGCAGCAGGUCAGCCUACUGUCGCUCCACAGCGGUGAUGUCCGUGGUGGGCUACAUCCUGGGUCUUGGAGACCGCCAUGGAGAGAACAUCCUGUUUGACUCAUUCACGUGUUCACGUCGACUUCAACUGCCUCUUCAACAAGGGUGAGACGUUUGAUGUUCCGGAAGUGGUUCCGUUCAGACUGACCCAGAACAUGGUCCAUGCUAUGGGCCCUAUGGGGACAGAGGGGCUGUUCAGAACCGCCUGUGAAGUCGUGCUACGCCUGGUGAGAGACCAGCGAACCACUCAUGAGAGUGGAGUAAACCCAAAGGACGAUCCAAGACACAGGCCAGUGAGACUGGAGAGAGAGUCAACGAGAAGGCCAAGACCCAUGUGUGUGAGAUUGAUCAGCGUUUGCAGGGCGUGAUAAAGAGUCGUAACAAGGUGUUGGGUCUUCCUCUGUCUAUAGAGGGACACGUCCACUACCUCAUAGAGGAGGCUACCGACGACAAACUACUGUGUCAGAUGUACCUGGGCUGGGGACCUUACCUGUGAUACACACAGCUUCUCUGAGACACUGUUUAUGAUGUUCAAUAUUUGACUUGUUCUGUUAUCAAUGAAAUUCUCUUCCUUUUUCAUAUUUUUGUAAAUCUGGAGUAAUUGUUAUGUUUUUCAUGGGGCAGUUGCAAAUUUUUACCGUACUAAAAAAAAAAGUAUUUAAAUGUGUGUGUGUGUGUGUGUGUGUGUGUGUGUGUGUGUGUAAUCUAAUUACAGCUGCAAUCUCUUGGGGUAUGUCUCUAUAAACCUGACACAUCAAGCCACUGGGAUUUUGGCCCAUUCAAGGCAAAACUGCUCCAGCUCCUUCAAGUUGGAUGGGUUCCGAUGGUGUACAGCAAUCUAUAAAUCAUACCAUAGAUUGUCAAUUGGAUUGAGGUCUG